rnacentral:lncRNA from 1 species
AUGGGGACAUUAUGGGAUGGAUGAGGACAUUGUGAUUGGGACAUUAUGGGAUGGAUGGGGACAUUAUGGGAUGGAUGGGGCUGUCAUGUCAAUGGGAUGGGGGCACUCAGUGGGGUGAAUGGGGACGUCUUGUGGGGCAGAGCUGUGGGGGGCGGCUUGAGGGGGAGCUCAAUGGGGGCAGCUCUAUGGGGUCAGAUCAGUGGGGGGCAUCUCAAUAGGGUCACCUCUAUGGGGGAUGUCCCAAUGGGGUCACCUCUAUGGGGUCACCUCUAUGGGGGAUGUCCCUAUGGGGUCACCUCUAUGGGGUCACCUCUAUGGGGGAUGUCCCAAUGGGGUCACCUCUAUGGGGGACACCUUUAUGGGGACACAUCUAUGGGGUCACAUCUAUGGGGUCACCUCUAUGGGGCCAUCCCAAUGGGGUCAUCCCUAUGGGGUCACUUCUAUGGGGUCAGCUCAGUGGGGGGCAUCCCAAUGGGGUCACCUCUAUGGGGGAUGUCCCUAUGGGGUCACCUCUAUGGGGUCACCUCUAUGGGGUCACCUCUAUGGGGUCAGCUCAGUGGGGGGCAUCCCAAUGGGGUCACCUCUAUGGGGGAUGUCCCUAUGGGGUCACCUCUAUGGGGUCACCUCUAUGGGGGAUGUCCCAAUGGGGUCACCUCUAUGGGGUCAUCUCUAUGGGGUCACCUCUAUGGGGGAUGUCCCUAUGGGGUCACCUCUAUGGGGUCACCUCUAUGGGGGACACCUUUAUGGGGACACGUCUAUGGGGACACAUCUAUGGGGUCACCUCUAUGGGGCCAUCCCUAUGGGGUCACCUCUAUGGGGGACACCUCUAUGGGGACACAUCUAUGGGGACACCUCAAUGGGGCACCUCAAUGGGGGCACCUCAAUGGGGCACCUCAAUGGGGCACCUCAAUGGGGGCACCUCAAUGGGGUCACCUCUAUGGGGGACAUCCCAAUGGGGUUGACUCUAUGGGGUCAUCACAAUGGGGUCCAUAA